UUGCCACGAACUGAAGAUUGAUUCGGAUUCCUUCUAGAUCUAUUCCUAUGUAGCUAUGCUAAAGAACUAUAGAGAUCUAAUUGAGAUGGUGGCUAAGAAUCCUAUAGAGAUAGAUCCAUUCGAGGGACCCCUCUCUGUCUAAUUCUUCUUCUCUUGAUCUUCUCAGAGAAUAAUGAACUCCUCCUCCAAGGGGGGUUAGGGUCUUUAUUUAUAGCCC
rnacentral:lncRNA from 1 species